CCCUUAGAUGUCCUGGGCUGCACGCGCGCUACACUGAUGUGUCCAGUAAGCACCUAACCUCUUCCGAAAGGAACGGGUAACCUUUGCAAAGCACAUCGUGAUGGGGAUAGAUUAUUGCAAUUAUUAGUCUUGAACGAGGAAUUCCUAGUAAGCACAAGUCAUCAGCUUGUGUUGAUUACGUCCCUGCCCUUUGUACACACCGCCCGUCGCUCCUACCGAUUGGAUGAUCCGGUGAGCUAUUCGGACUUUCGCAUUGUCGAUUUUCGGCUUUACGAGGGAAAGUCUCGCGAACCUUAUCAUCUAGAGGAAGGAGAAGUCGUAACA
rnacentral:rRNA from 1 species